UCUUCACCUCCGCCGCCUCAGGAUAACUAUAGAUGGCCCACUGUUUCGGCCUGUCAUGAUGUCACCAUUUCACCACAUACCCAUCAAACACAAAUUAGGACAGCAUGUUUGCUUGCCUCAUAACGCUGAUUGAGGAGGUGAAAGAGACUCAGAAAAUCCAAGGGAGGAUCCUACAAACACUACUACAACAGCAUGGCAACGUUGGGACUACAGUUUCUUCUAUUCCAGAAGGGUUCCCCCUAAAGGCAGUUCGUGAUGUUGAAAUCAUGGAAGAAAAGCUGGCAAACCCAGAUUUCAUGUCCGAAGUGGUUGCAGCUGUGGCUGACAUGGGGGGGCAACUGUUGACGAGGCCACAAGAAGAAUGAUGACCUUCCUCCUAGACCAUGGCCUAGCCAGGCAGUAUAACUUUGAGGCUUGAAGAAAACUCCUUGACAAGCCACAUCACCUGUAAAGAUGUUGAGAAGGCCGUGUCUAAGUGGCUCAUAGGUGCUCGGAUCGAGGUGGGGGGGGGGGUAAUAGGCCCGACAGGCAACCCCUCAAUGAAGACUUCAGGCUUCAGCCUCACUUGAGGUGGACAGUAACCAAUUCUGUCUGUGACACUUUGUGUUGACCUUGUAGAGACAUUACAGGACAUUCAUGUCUCAUGUUCUCAGCCU